rnacentral:snRNA from 1 species
AAGUGUUACAGUUCUUUAAAAUUUAUCUAGCAGGUGUUCCGGCCCUUGCUAGAAAGGAAACUCAA